UAGAGAAUCUUGCACAAUGGGCGAAAGCCUGAUGCAGCCACGCCGCGUGGAGGAAGAAGGCCUUCGGGUUGUAAACUCCUUUCAGCAGGGAAGAAGCGAACAGUGACGGUACCUGCAGAAGAAGGUCCGGCCAACUACGUGCCAGCAGCCGCGGUAAUACGUAGGGACCGAGCGUUGUCCGGAAUUAUUGGGCGUAAAGCGCGUGUAGGCGGCCCGUUAAGUCGACUGUGAAAUCCCGAGGCUCAACCUCGGAACUGCAGUCGAUACUGGCGGGCUUGAGGAAGGUAGAGGAGAGUGGAAUUUCUGGUGUAGCGGUGGAAUGCGCAGAUAUCAGAAGGAACACCGAUGGCGAAGGCAGCUCUCUGGGCCUCUCCUGACGCUGAGACGCGAAAGCAUGGGUAGCGAACAGGAUUAGAUACCCCCGUAGUCC
rnacentral:rRNA from 1 species